rnacentral:rRNA from 1 species
GACGAACGCUGGCGGCGUGCUUAACACAUGCAAGUCGAACGGAAAGGCCCUUCGGGGUGCUCGAGUGGCGAACGGGGGAGUAACACGUGGGUGAUCUGCCCUGCACUUUGGGAUAAGCCUGGGAAACUGGGUCUAAUACCGAAUAGGACCACGCGCUUCAUGGUGUGUGGUGGAAAGCUUUUGCGGUGUGGGAUGGGCUCGCGGCGUAUCAGCUUGUUGGUGGGGUAAUGGCCUACCAAGGCGACGACGGGUAGCCGGCCUGAGAGGGUGACCGGCCACACUGGGACUGAGAUACGGCCCAGACUCCUACGGGAGGCAGCAGUGGGGAAUAUUGCACAAUGGGCGGAAGCCUGAUGCAGCGACGCCGCGUGAGGGAUGACGGCCUUCGGGUUGUAAACCUCUUUCAAUAGGGACGAAGCGCUAGUGACGGUACCUAUAGAAGAAGCACCGGCUAACUACGUG